rnacentral:rRNA from 1 species
GCAAGUCGAGCGAGAAAGGCCUUCGGGCUGAGUACAGCGGCGGACGGGUGAGUAACGCGUAGGAAUCUACCUGGUAGUGGGGGACAACUUGUGGAAACGCAAGCUAAUACCGCAUACGCCCUAAGGGGGAAAGCGGGGGACCUUCGGGCCUCGCGCUAUCGGAUGAGCCUGCGUAAGAUUAGCUAGUUGGUGGGGUAAAGGCCCACCAAGGCGACGAUCUUUAGCUGGUCUGAGAGGAUGAUC